rnacentral:rRNA from 1 species
UUUCUAGUGAUUAAAUACUAGAUAAACCCUGCCCAACGUAAUUAAGUGGCCGCGGUACUAUAACCGUGCUAAGGUAGCAUAAUCAAUUGUUUAUUAAUUGUAAAAUUGAAUGAAUGGGUAAACAAAAUAAAGACUGUCUCUAAUAUAAUAAUAAAAAUUAUCCUUUUUAUGAAGAGAUAAAAAUUAAAUUAAAGGACAAGAAGACCCUAUAGAGCUUUACUGUAAAAUUAAUCAUUAAAAUAAAGUUUGGUUGGGGCGACCUAAGAUAAAAAAUAACAUCUUUAAAUUUAUAAGAAUUAAUAUUCAAUAUAUUGAUCCAUAAAUGACCAUUUAACUAGUUACCUUAGGGAUAACAGGCUAAUUAUUUUUAAGAGUUCUUAUCAAAAAAAUAGAUUGGCACCUCGAUGUUGGCUUAGGAAUACUAUUUUUCGCAAAAGAAAAUAUAGUUGGUUUGUUCAACCAAUAAUAUCCU